UCUACCUACGGGGCGCAGCAGUGGGGGAUAUUGCACAAUGGGGGAAACCCUGAUGCAGCGACGCCGCGUGGGCGAAGAAGUAUUUCGGUAUGUAAAGCCCUAUCAGCAGGGAAGAAGAAAUGACGGUACCUGAGUAAGAAGCACCGGCUAAAUACGUGCCAGCAGCCGCGGUAAUACGUAUGGGGCAAGCGUUAUCCGGAUUUACUGGGUGUAAAGGGAGCGCAGGCGGAUUUUUAAGUCAGCGGUCAAAUCGUGGGGCUCAACCUCAUCCAGCCGUUGAAACUGGGGAUCUAGAGUGUGCGAGG
rnacentral:rRNA from 1 species